UUAAAAGAAGUGGAGAAAGACGUUUCAGUUAAACAAGAGGAAGAAGAGGAUGAUGCUGUUUUUGGAGUGAAGAAGGAAGGGGAGAUUACUGUCACAUUGAAAGAUGAAGAGGGGGAGAUAGGAGAUCUGAGUAACACCAGAGAGAGACCAGACUUUCCCUUUGACAGACGGAAGAGUCCUUCAGGGGAACCAGACCCAGAGACUCCCAAACCAGUGACACGACAUCACUGUUCCCUGUGUGAAGGGGUUUUACCAAGUUAGGGAACCUAAAAGAGCAUGAGAAAAAACACACAGGAGAAAAGCCUUUCCAAUGCUCCCAGUGUGGAAAGAGAUUUUCACGAACUCAUGAACUAAUAUUACAUGAAAGGACACACACGGGAAAAACCACACUAUUGCUCCCAGUGUGGAAAGAGUUUUGCGCAGUUAGGGAACCUAAAAAAACACAAGAGAGUACACUCUGGAGAGAAGCCUUACCCCUGUUCCCAUUGUGGAAAAUAUUUUAGGCUGUCAGAACACUUAAAAUCACAUGAGAGGACACACACAGGGGAAAAAACACACACUUGCUACCAGUGUGGAAAGAGUUUUUCUCAUUUAGGGAACCUAAAAAAAUCAUAAGAGAAUACACACUGGAGAGAAACCUUACCCCUGUUCCCAUUGUGGAAAGAAUUUUAGGUUAUUACAAAACUUAAAAUCACAUGAGAGGACACAGGGGAAAAACCACACAAUUGCAUCCAGUGUGGAAAGAGUUUUUCCCAUUUAGGGAACCUGAACAAACAUAAGAAAAUACACUCUGGAGAGAAGCCUUACCCCUGUUCUCGUUGUGGAAAGAAUUUUACAUUGUCAGAAAGCUUAAAGUCACAUGAGAGGACACACACAGGGGAAAAAACCACACAAUUGCUCCCAGUGUGGAAAGAGUUUCCCAUUCAGAGACCCUGAAUCAACAUAAGAGAAUACACUCUCGAGAGAAGCCUUACCGCUGUUCCCAAUGUGGAAAGAGUUUUGCAUUGACAGAUAACCUGAAGGAGCAUGAGAGGCCACACACAGGAGAAAAGCCUUACCAAUGCUCCCAGUGUGGAAAGAGAUUUUCAAGAACACCAGAUCUUAAGAAGCAUGAACGGACACACACAGGAGAAAAUCCUUACCACUGCUCCCAGUGUGGAAAGAGUUUUACUGACUUAGCCUGAACAUACAUAAGAUAAUACACUCUAAAGAGAAACCGUACCAUUGUUCCCAGUGUGGAAAGAGUUUUACUAAGCUAGGGAACCUGAAAAGGCAUGUGGACAUACACACAUAGGGGAGGAUAAGCUCCCAGUUUGGAAAGAUUUUUAGUUAGGGAACCUAAUUGUGGAAAUACAUUUUCCCCGGACAGAGGACCUGAAAUCACAUGACAGAAUAGACAGGCUGUGUUCUGACUUAUGUUUGACUGUUGUUUUAUGGCACAUUAAAUCAUAUUGUUUACAUGAAAUUUAACUCAAAAAUAGGCCUCUACUUUUGUUUUAGUUUUUUCCUCUGGAGACAUGAUAACUCAAUGCCUAGGUUUACCUCCACUGUUCCCGCACCCUACCAUACCCCUGUCUGUACCUUAUGCCUUGAAUCUAUCCUACCACGCCCAGAAAUCUGCUCCUUUUAUUCUCUGUUCACAACGCACUAGAAGAUCAGAUCUGAUAGCCUUUAGCCGUACCCUCAUCCUACUCCUCCUGUUCCUCGGGUGACGUAGAGGUUAAGCCCUGUGUGUCCCCAGGCGCUCUCAUGUGUUGACUUCUGUAACCGUAAAAGCC